rnacentral:rRNA from 1 species
UACGUAGGGUGCGAGCGUUAAUCGGAAUUACUGGGCGUAAAGCGUGCGUAGGCGGUUUCAUAAGCUUGAUGUGAAAGCCCCGGGCUCAACUUGGGAGCUGCAUUGGAAACUGGCCAGCUGGAGUGUGGCAGAGGGGGGUGGAAUUCCGCGUGUAGCAGUGAAAUUCGUAGAGAUGCGGAGGAACACCGAUGGCGAAGGCAGCCCCUGGGCCAACACUGACGCUCAG